rnacentral:sRNA from 1 species
UCCAUUUGCGCAAUUCAAAAUGGCCUUGC